UAAGUUCUGUAAAAACCCAGCCUGAUCCC
rnacentral:piRNA from 1 species